GCCGUGCCUGCAGGACUUCCCUUCGCUUGGGCGCAAGCCGGCGAUUAGCCUGGUCCCCUAGGACAUCUCCAGGGCUCCGGGGAACCUCUCCUGCGCAGGCUUGGCCCUGCCUCCUCCAAGCGUCCGAGUCUUUUUCGGCUUUUCGUGAGCCUCAGAGAGGGACGUUUCCUGCCAACGCUGCUGCGAAGGAAAGUUUGGGCGGCGUUAUCCCGACUGCCUUCCUCGCCAGCGCCGGCGAGCAGCUUGGGGACACAGCCGACGCCCGGGCAUCCUCCCCGACGACCCCCCGGAGCGCUCCCAGUUCAGACUCCUUUCCGAGAAGCGCGCAGAAGUGACAGCCCCGGAGCUUCGUUCCGGUGUAGGUGUGGGGAUGCGCCGCAAGGCAGGAGGGGAAGGCGCUCCAGUUGAAGGGGGCACCCCGGGGCCCGCGCCGACUCCUCCCGGCGCAGCCUUGGCUCGCCGGAGUCGCGGGUCGGAGGCUGGCGCCGCUGCCCGCCGACCAGCACCCUGGCGCCAGGCGCCCGGCUCCACGCCGCACCCUUGGCGACGCUGUGCGAGGGGCUCUAGCGCCCGCCGCGGCGCAGUCUCGUGAACCCCCGCUCCAAUUUUUUCCUACGGAGGCGCAGAGGAGGGUGAAUUCGCGCUCUCCUUCCCGACGCCCCGGCUUCUGGGAGCGUCAGAGCAACGGAAGUACGUACAGGAGGACCGAGAGCAGCAGGGAAGUUUGGCGGUGGGCUGGGGUCGGCGGCGAAGAUUCCCUGCCGUGCGCUGCCCCCUCGUGGCCGCUUUGCGUUCCCGUCGGGAAGGGCUGGGUUCCAGUCCAGGGCCCAGCACAAACCAGGAUUGGUUGGACGCUGCACAGCGAGUUCAGUCAGGGCUAACAUCAGAAGAGUCGUGGGGGGCCUGCCUAUCGGCCAGCCUGUCCUUGUGGUUUGUGAAGUUGUAUGAUCUUUCUGUUAUUAUUAAGGAAAAAAGUAGUAUUUGUUGAGGCUAAAAGGCCAAGAGCGUGCUAUAUAUUAUUUAAUCCUCUAAACAGCUCUGCCAGAUAAUUAUUUUAUUUAUUUAUAUUUACUUCCAUAGCUUUAGACAGGAUCUCGUUCUGUCAGGCAGGCUAGAGCGCGGGGUGCUAUCACGGCUCACUGCAGCCUCAAACUCUUGGGCUCAAGCCAUCCUUUCACCUCAGCCUCCUGAAUAGUUGAAACUACAGGUGCGCCACCACGCCUGGCUAAAUUUUUAAUUUAAAUUUUUUGUAGCGACAGGGUCUCCUUAUGUUGCCCAGGCUAGUCUCAAACUCCUGGGCUCAAGAGAUCCUCCAACCUCAUCUUCACAAAGUGCUGGGAGUACAGGCGCCAGCCACGGUGCCCAACCUGUGAUAAUUAUUUUAAACUCAUUUUACAAAUGAGGAAAGUGAUAUUCAUACUUGUAAAGCCAUUGGGGCUGAAUUUUCAUUUUUGUAUCCACAGAACUAACACAUAAAGUUUACAUGCCAUUAGAAUGUAAGCUCUCUGUAAGCUACAGAUCUUUUCUACUGUAAUAUCCUUAGUGCCUAGGGCAGUGACUAGCAUAUAGUAGGUGUUCAAUAAAUAUUUGUAGAAUUAAUGAAA
rnacentral:lncRNA from 1 species